UACGUAGGGUGCAAGCGUUGUCCGGAAUUAUUGGGCGUAAAGAGCUCGUAGGCGGUCUGUCGCGUCGGCUGUGAAAUCCCGGAGCUCAACUCCGGGUCUGCAGUCGAUACGGGCAAACUGGAGUACUGCAGGGGAGACUGGAAUUCCUGGUGUAGCAGUGAAAUGCGUAGAUAUCAGGAGGAAUACCGAUGGCGAAGGCAGGUCUCUGGGCUAUAACUGACGCUCAUGCACGAAAGCGUGGGGAGCAAACAGG
rnacentral:rRNA from 1 species